GGUGCAUGGUUGUCGUCAGCUCGUGUCGUGAGAUGUUGGGUUAAGUCCCGCAACGAGCGCAACCCUUGUCUUUAGUUGCCAUCAUUAAGUUGGGCACUCUAGAGAGACUGCCAGGGAUAACCUGGAGGAAGGUGGGGAUGACGUCAAAUCAUCAUGCCCCUUAUGCUUAGGGCUACACACGUGCUACAAUGGGUAGUACAGAGGGUUGCCAAGCCGUAAGGUGGAGCUAAUCCCUUAAAGCUACUCUCAGUUCGGAUUGUAGGCUGAAACUCGCCUACAUGAAGCUGGAGUUACUAGUAAUCGCAGAUCAGAAUGCUGCGGUGAAUGCGUUCCCGGGUCUUGUACACACCGCCCGUCACACCACGGGAGUUGGAGACGCCCGAAGCCGAUUAUCUAACCUUUUGGAAGAAGUCGUCGAAGGUGGAAUCAAUAACUGGGGUGAAGUCGUAACAAGGUAGCCGUAUCGGAAGGUGCGGCUGGAUCACCUCCUUUCUAAGGA
rnacentral:rRNA from 1 species